UACGGGGGGGGUAAGCGUUGUUCGGAAUUACUGGGCGUAAAGGGCUCGUAGGCGGCCAACUAAGUCAGACGUGAAAUCCCUCAGCUUAACUGGGGAACUGCGUCUGAUACUGGAUGGCUUGGAUUUGGGAGAGGGAUGCGGAAGUUCCAGGUGUAGCGGUGAAAUGCGUAGAUAUCUGGAGGAACACCGGUGGCGAAGGCGGCAUCCUGGACCAAUAUUGACGCUGAGGAGCGAAAGCUAGGGGAGCAAACAGGG
rnacentral:rRNA from 1 species